UUUUUUUUUUUUUUUUCUUUUUUGGCUUUUUGCCUUUUCCAUGGCCGCUCCUGCAGCAUAUGGAGUUUCCCAGGCUAGGGGUUGAAUUGGAGCUGUAGCCGCCGGCCUACACCGGAGCCACAGCAACUCGGGAUCCGAGCUGUGUCUUUGACCUACACCACAGCUCACGGCAAUGCCAGAUCCUUAACCCACUGAGCAAGGCCAGGGAUCGAACCCGCAACCUCAUGGUUCCUAGUUGGAUUUGUUAACCACUGAGCCACGACGGGAACUCCAUGUUGAGCGUUUUUUCAUGUACCUGUUGGCCAUCUGUAUAUCUUCUUUGGAGAAACGUCUAUUUGGGCCUUACGCCUGUGUUUUUGUUUUUGUUUUUGUUUUUUUUUUUGUCUUUUUGCCAUUUCUUGGGCCGCUCUCACGGCAUGUGGAAGUUCCCAGGCUAGGGGUCCUAUUGGAGCUGUAGCCUCAGGCCUACGUCACAGCCAUAGCAACACGGGAACCGAGCUACAUCUGCAACCCACACCACAGCUCACAACAACGCCGGAUCCUUAACCCACUGAGCAAGGCCAGGGAUUGAACCUGCAACCUCAUGGUUCCCAGUUAGAUUCGUUAACCACUGAGCCACAAUGGGAACUCCAGGAGUGUGAUUUUAAAAGUUAUUUUUAUGUUUUCUAAUAUUUCAUUGUUAAUAUACAGAAAUGCAACUGAUUUCUGAGUGUUAAUCUUGUAUCCUGCUACUUUGCUGAUUGGGUAGUUUUUAUUUGGAGUCCUUAGAGUUUUCUAUAUAUAAUAUCAUGCCAUCUGCAUAUAGUGACAUUUUUACCUCUUUUCUAAUUUGGAUACCUUUUUUUCUUUUAAAUUUAAAUCUGAUUGUUGUGGCUAGGACUUCUAAUAUGAUGAGGAUGUUGAAUAGAAGUAGUGUGUGUGGGCAUCUUUGUCUUGUUCCAGAUUUUAGCAGGAAGGCUUUUAGCUUUUCUCUGUUGAGUAUUUUAUUGGCUGUGGGUUUGUCAUAAACAGCUUUUAUUAUGUUAAGAUAUGUUCACUCUAUACCCACUUUGGUAAAAGUUUUUAUCAUGAAAGGAUGCUGGAUUUUAUCAAAUGCUUUUUCUGUAUCCAUUGAUUAAUCAUGUGGUUUUCGACUUUUCUUCUUUGUUGAAGUGGUAUGUUGCAUUGUUGAUUUGUGAUGUUGAACCAUCCUUGUGAACUUUUGAUGAAGCCCACUUGGUCACUGUGUAUGACCUUUUUUGUGUGCUGUUGGAUUCUGUUUGCUAGAUUUUUUUUUUUUCCUUCACUUUUUAGGGUUGCGCCUGUGGCAUAUGGAUGUUUCCUGGCUAGGGACUGAAUCGGAGCUGCAGCUGCUGGCCUACAGCAACGCCAGAUCUGAGCCACAUCUGUGACCUACACCAUAGCUAACAGCAACACCUGAUCUUUAACUUACUGAGUGAGGCCAGGGAUUGAACACUCUUAGUCAGGUUCAUUACCGCUGAGGCACAAUGGGAAUUCUGUUUGCUGAAGUUUUCUUGAGAAUUUUUGCGUCUGUGUUUAUCAAAGACAUUGGCUUGUAAUUUUCUUUUUUGGUAGUAUCUUUGUCUGGUUUUGGUAUUAGGGUGAUGGCGGCUUCAUAGAAUGUUUUUGGGAAUGUUCCUUCUUCAGUCUUUUGGACAGGUUUAAUAAGGAGGAUUGGUGUAAGUUGUUUGUGUGUUUGGUAGAAUUGCCUGUGAAGCCAUCUGGUCCUUGACUUUUGUUUGUAGGAGUUUUUUAAACUGCAUAUUCAAUUUCAUCUCCAGUGAUUGGUCUGUUCAAAUGAUGUAUUUCUUCUUGAGUCAGUUUUGGAGGGCUGUAUGUUUCUAGAAAGUUGUCCAUUUCCAGAUUCAAUUUUUUGAGGAACCUCUAUACUGUUCUCCUUAGUGGUUGCACCAGCUUACAUUUCCACCAGCAGUGCGUGAGUGUUCCCCUGUCCUCACAUCCUCACUAACACAUUAUUUGUUGUCAAAAAUUUGAUGACAGCCAUUCUGACAAAUGGGAGGUGGUAUCUCAUUGUCGUUUUGAUUUGCAUUUCUUCAAAGAUUAAUGAUGUUGAGCAUCUUUUCAUGUGUCCAUUAGUCAUCUGUAUGUCCUUUUUGGGAAAACGUCUAUUCUGGUGUUCUGCCCACUUAAAAGUUUGAAUUGUUUGGGUUUUUUGGUAUUGGGUUAUAUAGGUUCUUUCUAUAUUUUGGAUAUUAAUUCCUUAAUGGAUAUAUCAUUUGCAAAUAUCUUCUCCCAAUUCAUUAGGUUGCCUUUUUGUCUUGAUGGUGUUUUUCACUGUGCAAAAGCAUUUACAUUUGAUGUAGUACCAUUUGUUUAUUUUUCUAUGUAUAGUAUCAUGUCAUCUGCAAACACUUUUCUUUCUUUUCCAAUUUGGAUUCCUUUUCUUUACUUUUUUUUCUCUAGUUGCCAUGGCUAGGACUUCCAAAACUAAGUUGAAUAAAAGUGAGAGUGGAUCCUUAUCUUGUUCCUCAUCUUAGUGGAAAUUCUUUCAGCUUUUCAGCAUUGAGAAUGAUGUUAGCUGUAGGUUUGUCAUAUAUGGCCUAUUUUUUAUUUUUAUUUUAUUAUUUAUUAUUAUUAUUGUUUAUUUUUUUGUCUUUUUGCCAUUUCUUGGGCCGCUCCCGUGGCAUAUGGAGGUUCCCAGACUAGGGGUCCAAUCAGAGCUGUAGCCGCUGGCCUACGCCAGAGCCACAGCAAUGCAGGAUCCGAGCCGCGUCUGCAACCUACACCACAGCUCAUGGCAACGCCAGGUCCUUAACCCACUGAGCAAGGGCAGGGAUCGAACCCGCAACCUCAUGGUUCCUAGUCAGAUUCGUUAACCACUGAGUCACCACGGGAACUCCUGGCCUAUUUUUUAUAUUGAGGUAAGUGCCCUUUGUGCUCACUUUCUGGAGGUGGGUUUUUUUGCUUUUUAGGGCUGCACUGCCCUAAACCAAAAAAAAAAAAAAAAAAAAAA
rnacentral:lncRNA from 1 species